UUAGAUUCCCGACGACAAAACGUUUUAGAUUAUUCCGGGGCGAAAGAUGGUUGGAGAUGGUCGCCCGCGGGCCCGAUAGACGUUCGAUCGGCUCGAUGGGAAUUAACGAGACAUGACCGGAGAUAAUUGGAACAGGGAGAUUGGUCCGCGGUUCGACGAUGGUGAAAAUUCAUCGCCGUUUACGCCAGUGACGAGGGAGAAAAAAUAACCAGCGAAAUGGCGGGUCUCGGAAGGUAUUGCUGUGUCUCCUGGGAAUGGUUUAGCUUCCGGUCUGAGGAAGAGCGGAUACUGUUACGCGAUCGCCGCUCAGUGCAGAGACCUGCGUUACCACCCGGAAUGAAGAAUCGCUACCUUCGAAGCACAAUCGCAGAUGGCGCGUGCGGUAGCUGCUGGAGCUGUUACACAUUUUUAGUCGGCGUAUCGCGGGAAAAUUUCCUAAGUAUAAGUUUACGAGAACCGAGUCCUGUGUUAAUAAUCGAAUAAAAGAUUAACGACAGAAUA